rnacentral:rRNA from 1 species
AACGAACGCUGGCGGCAGGCUUAACACAUGCAAGUCGAGCGCCCCGCAAGGGGAGCGGCAGACGGGUGAGUAACGCGUGGGAAUCUACCCAUCUCUACGGAAUAACGCAUGGAAACGUGUGAUAAUACCGUAUACGUCCUUCGGGAGAAAGAUUUAUCGGAGAGGGAUGAGCCCGCGUUGGAUUAGCUAGUUGGGGGGGUAAAGGCCUACCAAGGCGACGAUCCAUAGCUGGUCUGAGAGGAUGAUCAGCCACACUGGGACUGAGACACGGCCCAGACACCUACGGGAGGCAGCAGUGGGGAAUAUUGGACAAUGGGCGCAAGCCUGAUCCAGCCAUGCCGCGUGAGUGAUGAAGGCCCUAGGGUUGUAAAGCUCUUUCACCGGUGAAGAUAAUGACGGUAACCGGAGAAGAAGCCCCGGCUAACUUCGUGCCAGCCGCCGCUGUAAGAC